AUUUAUUUGUUUGUUUGUUUGUUUAUUUUUGUUUGUGUUUGUCCUUGGUUCUUGAAGAGGACUGUGACAUCAGGGAGAGGAUGACAUGACUUGCAAUUGACUUUGAUUUGAGUGAGGGAGGGCUGUGCAAGGUCACCAGCCUUACUUUCUCCUCCAGAGCCAUCUGGGUCCAGUGGCCAAAUGUUCAUCAGGAUGACUGAGAUGACCAGGUCUUUAUUAUCACCUGGCUGGAUUAUUGCAAUAGCCUUCUAACAAGCAAUUGGGGUUAAGUGACUUGCCCAGGGUCACACAGCUAGUAAGUGUCAAGUGUUGGUCUGAGGCCAGAUUUGAACUCAGGUCCUCCUGACUUCAGGGCCUGUGCUCUACUCACUGUGCCACCUACCUGCCCCGACAGAUAAAGAAAUUGAGUCCUGCUCAUUUUACAGAUGAGGAAACUGAGACCAACAGGGAUAAAUGACUUCUCCAGGGCCACACAGCUAGCAAGUUAUCUGAGGCCAGAUUUGAACUCAGGAAGACUCAUCUUCCUGACUCCAGGCCUGGAGCUUUAUCCGCUUUGCAACCUAACUGCCCAGAACACGAGUCUGAAAACAGGCUUCAUCAAAUUGCCAAAGGGGUCCAUCAUAUGAAGAAAAAAAAGUUAAGAAGUCCUACUCUAAAUCUAUGACUAAUGAGGAGAAUUGCUGAUCUUCCAUCAAUGGAGGGAGUUUCUUUCUACACUGAGUUCUUCAAGCCAAUAGAAUCACAGGUCUUGACCUCCCCGC
rnacentral:lncRNA from 1 species